ensembl:lncRNA
CAACUUUCAGCGAACGGUGGAUCAUUCAGUGAGCAAAGUGUGGGUGCCCCACUCCAUUGCCAUUUAAUAUUAAAAUGAAAAUGAGCUUUCUCAUCCAUUCGUGAUGACAUUCUCACCUCCAAAAAAAUGAGCUCUCCCUCUUCCAUUGCUCUUGGAACAUUUUCAGAAGUUGAAAGCUCCACAGUUGCCUCCACUCGCACGCAUGGCAGUAGGAAUCUCAUUUGGCUCCAGUACACUGUGACAUCCCAUGCUCUCAUUGGCCAAGUAAGAGUUUAAGACCACCUUGGAAAUCCUGUAUGUCACCUGAACUUGGGAGAACCACUUUAGAAACACCAAGAAACAUUUUCUUGGUAAUAGAAUUUAGGACUGACAUGCUCUGCAAAACUAUCCAAUGAAAAUAACUUUGCAUGUUCCCUCCCCCCCCCCCCCCCUCAGAAAUGUAAUAUUCUAAUUUACAAAUAUGAAUAACAAAGUUUGGAGUUAUUUUCUCUCUCUGUUUCCUUGAUGUUUAGGAGACUAUUAUAUCACUCAGGCUGCUGAGUGGUAAUUUGGCCUGGAAUAUUUAUAAUAAAUAAAGCAAUGAAGAGUCUAAGUUGGAGCACUAAAUUCAGUCCAUAACCCAACAUAUGCAGAACUGCAUCCAGUGCACACUCUUAUAAUUUUACAAUGUUUGCAAGUAUAAAACUGUAGCUAUAAGGGCUGCUCCAAAAGUAACACCUUCUACUUUAAGAUGUCAGCCCAUGAUGUCAGAGGAGGUUGUUGGUGGUGGUGUGGCAGUAGAGGAUGAACCUUCCCACCAACAUCCUGUUACAUGUUGUUGCCUUGCAAAGAUGGCAGCAGAGGGGCAGUUUGACAAGAUGGCACCUGGCAUGAAAGUGCAUAGGAAACAAAGGUGUGCCACUGAACUCUUUCUUGUCAAAGAAAAAAAAAGAUGGUAGCCACUGACAUUCAUUGACACUUGCUGAAUGUUUAUGGAGACCAAAUAAUGGAUGUUAACACAGAGGGGGGAGUGCUGUGUUUCAGCAGUGGCAACAGUGAUGUGAAAGGCAACCCACAUUCUGGAUGGCCACACACAUCUGUCACACCACAAAAUGAAGAGUGACCUGAUCAUCUCAUCCAUGUGAAUCAGCAGAUUAUGACCAGUAAACUGGUAUCAGCUUCAAUGCACUGGAAAUGAUGGUGGCAACACUGGCAUAUCAUGAAGUUUGUGGCAGAUGGGUCCCACAAAUGCUCACACAGGAACAGAAAGAACACUGUACGCAAGUAUGUCAUGACACAUUGAACCAAUAUGAAGAUGAAGGUGACAGUUUUCUCAAUCACAUCAUUUCUGGUGAUGAGAUGUGGUGUCUCCAUUAUGCUCCAGCAUCAAAAUGGCAGCUCACGAAGUAGCAACAUGCAAAUUCCACACUGAAGAAGUUCCAGAUGCAGCCCUUAAUGGGUAAAGUCAUGUGCAGUGUCUUUUGGGAUAGGAAAAGGGG